UACGGAGGGAGCAAGCGUUAAUCGGAAUUACUGGGCGUAAAGCGUGCGCAGGCGGUUUUGUAAGCCAGAUGUGAAAGCCCCGGGCUCAACCUGGGAACUGCAUUUGGGACUGCAAGGCUGGAGUACGGCAGAGGGAGGUGGAAUUCCACGUGUAGCAGUGAAAUGCGUAGAGAUGUGGAGGAACACCGAUGGCGAAGGCAGCCUCCUGGGCUAGUACUGACGCUCAUGCACGAAAGCGUGGGGAGCAAACAGG
rnacentral:rRNA from 1 species